AUUGAACGCUGGCGGCAGGCUUAACACAUGCAAGUCGAGCGGGGAAAGGUAGCUUGCUACUUAACCUAGCGGCGGACGGGUGAGUAAUGCUUAGGAAUCUGCCUAUUAGUGGGGGACAACAUCUCGAAAGGGAUGCUAAUACCGCAUACGUCCUACGGGAGAGAGCAGGGGACCUUCGGGCCUUGCGCUAAUAGAUGAGCCUAAGUCGGAUUAGCUAGUUGGUGGGGUAAAGGCCUACCAAGGCGACGAUCUGUAGCGGGUCUGAGAGGAUGAUCACACACACUGGAACUGAGACACGGUCCAGACUCCUACGGGAGGCAGCAGUAGGGAAUAUUGCACAAUGGGGGAAACCCUGAUGCAGCAACGCCGCGUGAGUGAAGAAGGCCCUUGGGUUGUAAAGCUCUUUAGCGAGGGAAGAAGGUAGAUACGGUGAAUAAUCGUGUUUGCUGACGGUACCUCGAGAAUAAGCACCGGCUAAUUUCGUGCCAGCCGCCGCAGUAACAC
rnacentral:rRNA from 1 species